rnacentral:rRNA from 1 species
UUUCUGCUUUAGGAAGAAUUCGCAAUUCAACAUCGAGGUCGCAAACAAUUAUUUUAAUAUGGGCUUUAAUAAUUAUUACGCUGUUAUCCCUAGAGUACCUUUUUCACCUAGUUUUAUUAAGAUCAGUUUAGUUCAAAAUACUUUCAUUUUUAUUUACCCCAAAUAAAUUUUUUAGAUUAAUUUAAAAAAAUAAAGGUUCAUAGGCCUUCUCGUC